rnacentral:rRNA from 1 species
AUUGAACGCUGGCGGCAUGCCUUACACAUGCAAGUCGAACGGCAGCAUAGGAGCUUGCUCCUGAUGGCGAGUGGCGAACGGGUGAGUAAUAUAUCGGAACGUGCCCUAGAGUGGGGGAUAACUAGUCGAAAGACUAGCUAAUACCGCAUACGAUCUACGGAUGAAAGUGGGGGAUCGCAAGACCUCAUGCUCCUGGAGCGGCCGAUAUCUGAUUAGCUAGUUGGUGGGGUAAAGGCCUACCAAGGCGACGAUCUGUAGCGGGUCUGAGAGGAUGAUCCGACACACUGGGACUGAGACACGGCCCAGACUCCUACGGGAGGCAGCAGUGGGGAAUAUUGGGCAAUGGGGGGAAGCCUGAUCCAGCCAUUCCGCGUGCAGGAUGAAGGCCCUCGGGUUGUAAACUGCUUUUGUACAGAACGAAAAGGUUUCUACUAAUACUAGGAGCUCAUGACGGUACUGUAAGAAUAAGCACCGGCUAACUACGUGCCAGCCGCCGCAGUAA